AUUAGUGGUUGUGUGUGCUUGUGCUAUAAAGGUUGAUAGCUAGAGGAAGAUGGACAAAAGAUAUUGUAGAAAAUAUUUUUUUAAAGUACUAUAUGUUUUUCUUUUAACUAUACAUCAUAUAACUCUAUCACUUCCGUAAAUAUCUUUUAGUACUAUUUAAAUAGAAAUAAAGAGAGAUGGUAUUUUCUAAUAUGGAUUGGUUCGGUCGUUACUAAUAUGGAUUAGCUCCUUCGGUUGGGGUUACCCUACCUUCUGCUUCA